rnacentral:rRNA from 1 species
UGAACGCUGGCGGCAUGCCCUUACAGCAUACAAGUCGAACGGCAGCAUGCUCUAGCUUGCUAGAUUGAUGGCGAGUGGCGAACGGGUGAGUAAUACAUCGGAACGUGCCCUGUAGUGGGGGAUAACUAGUCGAAAGAUUAGCUAAUACCCGCAUACAGACCUGAGGGUGAAAGUGGGGGACCGCAAGGCCUCAUGCUAUAGGAGCGGCCGAUGUCUGAUUAGCUAGUUGGUGAGGUAAAGGCUCACCAAGGCGACGAUCAGUAACUGGUCUGAGAGGACGAUCAGCCACACUGGGACUGAGACACGGCCCACACUCCUACGAGGAGGCAGCAGUGGGGAAUUUUGGACAAUGGGGGCAACCCUGAUCCAGCAAUGCCGCGUGAUGUGAAGAAGGCCUUCAGAGGUUGUACAGCACUUUAUGUACCGGACAAGAAAUCGCAACUUACUAAUAUUAAGAGUGUGGAUGACGGUACCGGAAGAAUAAAGGACCAGGCUAACUCACGUGCCAGCACACGCGGUAAUACGAUAAGGUCCAAGACGUUAAAUCGGAAUUACUGGGCGUAA